GGUUCCAGCCAACCUGCUGCUGAGCGCUCUGCUCUCUGCAGAGCGGCUGGCUGCUCCCCUUCCUUCCUGCUCGCUCUUUUUCCCUGCUGCUGCGGUGCUCCACCUGGGCCUCCGAGAAGCCGAGCUGGCCCCGUGUCUCCAUAUGCAUUUGCUCACGCGGCACAUGCUUUCCACUCUGGAGGCUUCGAACAAUUAGAAGAAACUCUCCUCUGCAACGCGGGGAAGUUUUAACAACAUUCCGGCCUUUCCUUUCACGGAACUUGAUCCAAACAAACAUUGCUCUCCUUGAAGAGUUUCCAGCCAAGACAGUUCCAGCCCUCUCACUAUGCUCUUAUUAAAUUUCAUGCUAUUGUACGGGA